AUCUGUCUUGGUUAUGUUGCUCAAUGGGAUAUUCUGUGAAACCAGUGAGGGCACCGCUGUUUUUUCAGACAAUUCUUUACAAUUAACACCACUCUGGGCUGCAGCCAUCUUCUUUUGCUGGCGGGAUAUACGCUGUCUCUGUAUGUAAACCGCCUUUUGCUCGACAGACAAUCUAGAAUACCAGCUUUGGCCACUUAGAUGUGUUUUGCCUUGUUGAAUCUGUUCAUCCCGAUUGUUUGUAACUGGCCCAGAGUUAUCAUAGUGCAAAGUGCACGUGCCCUGUUGAUCGAGAGAAACAGUACUGCAACCCACAGUAGACUCACCACCUGGACAAUGCAAACAUUGGUACAAAUAAGAUUAGAGAGCAACAUAUCUAUAUAGUAAAGAAAACAUGAUGUCGCGUACUAUCAUACCUGCUAAAUGGUGGAGUGAACCAUCUCCAGGGAAUUGCGAUGAAUCUGAUGAAGUCAUGUCAGAUGCAUAGUUACGUCUGCCAACAGGAGCCACAUCUACAAAUUCAGUUCAGCUAAAAAAUCACUGGGUGAAUCCAGAUUGUCCAGUACCAGGUGUAUGACAUACUGUGCUAUCGCCAACUGUAAAGGUUUUGAGGAGAAAACAAUAUGCUAUGAUCGUUGCAUGACUAUGACAGUUGCAUUAGUGAAGUCCAAAGCACGGUUGAAAUCACCUUGAAGAAUCGGAGAAGCUGGAACGUGCUGGAGAUGCCCUU